rnacentral:rRNA from 1 species
UACGUAGGGUGCAAGCGUUAAUCGGAAUUACUGGGCGUAAAGCGUGCGCAGGCGGCUUUGCAAGACAGAUGUGAAAUCCCCGGGCUUAACCUGGGAACUGCAUUUGUGACUGCAUGGCUAGAGUGCGGCAGAGGGGGAUGGAAUUCCGCGUGUAGCAGUGAAAUGCGUAGAUAUGCGGAGGAACACCGACGGCGAAGGCAAUCCCCUGGGCCUGCACUGACGCUCAUGCACGAAAGCGUGGGGAGCAAACACG